GCAAAUUCGGUGCUACCAUGCAGUCGAGCGGUAGCACAGAGAGCUUGCUCUCGGGUGACGAGCGGCGGACGGGUGAGUAAUGUCUGGGAAACUGCCUGAUGGAGGGGGAUAACUACUGGAAACGGUAGCUAAUACCGCAUAACGUCGCAAGACCAAAGUGGGGGACCUUCGGGCCUCAUGCCAUCAGAUGUGCCCAGAUGGGAUUAGCUAGUAGGUGGGGUAACGGCUCACCUAGGCGACGAUCCCUAGCUGGUCUGAGAGGAUGACCAGCCACACUGGAACUGAGACACGGUCCAGACUCCUACGGGAGGCAGCAGUGGGGAAUAUUGCACAAUGGGCGCAAGCCUGAUGCAGCCAUGCCGCGUGUAUGAAGAAGGCCUUCGGGUUGUAAAGUACUUUCAGCGGGGAGGAAGGCGAUAAGGUUAAUAACCUUGUCGAUUGACGUUACCCGCAGAAGAAGCACCGGCUAACUCCGUGCCAGCAGCCGCGGUAAUACGGAGGGUGCAAGCGUUAAUCGGAAUUACUGGGCGUAAAGCGCACGCAGGCGGUCUGUCAAGUCGGAUGUGAAAUCCCCGGGCUCAACCUGGGAACUGCAUUCGAAACUGGCAGGCUAGAGUCUUGUAGAGGGGGGUAGAAUUCCAGGUGUAGCGGUGAAAUGCGUAGAGAUCUGGAGGAAUACCGGUGGCGAAGGCGGCCCCCUGGACAAAGACUGACGCUCAGGUGCGAAAGCGUGGGGAGCAAACAGGAUUAGAUACCCUGGUAGUCCACGCCGUAAACGAUGUCGAUUUGGAGGUUGUGCCCUUGAGGCGUGGCUUCCGGAGCUAACGCGUUAAAUCGACCGCCUGGGGAGUACGGCCGCAAGGUUAAAACUCAAAUGAAUUGACGGGGGCCCGCACAAGCGGUGGAGCAUGUGGUUUAAUUCGAUGCAACGCGAAGAACCUUACCUGGUCUUGACAUCCACAGAACUUGCCAGAGAUGCCUUGGUGCCUUCGGGAACUGUGAGACAGGUGCUGCAUGGCUGUCGUCAGCUCGUGUUGUGAAAUGUUGGGUUAAGUCCCGCAACGAGCGCAA
rnacentral:rRNA from 1 species